UUACAAUUUACAGCUGCAGAAGGCUUCGUGGCUUCAUUUUUUAAUACUUUUUGUUCCAUCGAUGCUGUUCUGCAGAAAUAGCUAUCCAUUUGCUUAUUCAAGAGCACUCAGGGUACAUGAUUUAAUGAGACUCCAUCUGGUUGUAUGCAGUGCUGCUGCUUAGGGGUGCCUCUGGGAUAUUGGCAAUGCUGUGGCCCCACAUCACUGCAGGUGUCCUUGUGCUGGGAGCAGCAAGACUGGGGCUAUGUUGUGUGAUGUGCUGCAUGUUAAAGUUGUCUACUUGAAGAGGAAAACCAACUGUAUUCAGUUUAAGAUGAGCAUUACCUUGGCUAUUUAUCACUGUG